UACAGGGGGGGCAAGCGUUGUUCGGAAUUACUGGGCGUAAAGGGCUCGUAGGCGGCCAACUAAGUCACACGUGAAAUCCCCAGGCUCAACCUGGGAACUGCGUGUGAUACUGGAUGGCUUGAAUUCGGGAGAGGGAUGCGGAAUUCCAGGUGUAGCGGUGAAAUGCGUAGAUAUCUGGAGGAACACCGGUGGCGAAGGCGGCAUCCUGGACCGGCAUUGACGCUGAGGAGCGAAAGCCAGGGGAGCAAACGGG
rnacentral:rRNA from 1 species